UGCCACUCUUAACGGGGUGGCUUUUCAGAAGUGUAAAAAGCUCCUGGAAUAAGGGCUGGGCAAGACCGGUGCCAGCCGCCGCGGUAACACCGGCAGCUCAAGUGGUAGCCGCUUUUAUUGGGCCUAAAGCGUCCGUAGCCGGUCUGAUAAGUCUCUGGUGAAAUCCCACAGCUUAACUGUGGGAAUUGCUGGAGAUACUAUCAUGACUCGAGGUCGGGAGAGGCUGGAGGUACUCCCAGGGUAGGGGUGAAAUCCUGUAAUCCUGGGAGGACCACCUGUGGCGAAGGCGUCCAGCUGGAACGAACCUGACGGUGAGGGACGAAAGCCAGGGGCGCGAACCGGAUUAGAUACCCGGGUAGUCCUGGCCGUAAACGAUGUGGACUUGGUGUUGAGAUGGCUUCGAGCUGCCCCAGUGCCGAAGGGAAGCUGUUAAGUCCACCGCCUGGGAAGUACGGCCGCA
rnacentral:rRNA from 1 species